rnacentral:rRNA from 1 species
CGGACGGGUGAGUAAUGUCUGGGAAACUGCCUGAUGAAGGGGGAUAACUACUGGAAACGGUAGCUAAUACCGCAUAACGUCGCAAGACCAAAGAGGGGGACCUUAGGGCCUCUUGCCAUCGGAUGUGCCCAGAUGGGAUUAGCUAGUAGGUGGGGUAACGGCUCACCUAGGCGACGAUCCCUAGCUGGUCUGAGAGGAUGACCAGCCACACUGGAACUGAGACACGGUCCAG